UCAGUAAAAUUUGCUGAGUAUCUUCCUUCUUCUUCGUUCUUUGUUCUCAGUUCUUCAACCUUUCUUCUUCUUUUUACUCUUUCCGUUCCUUUUUUCCAUCCGAGUCUCAGUGAGACGAUCGUGGGAGAAGGGGAAACAGAGAGAGACGAAGGUGGAAGAGAUGGAGAAGGAGAGAUCGGGUGAGAUCAGACCCGUGAGAGAGAGGAGUGAGACCCGAUCCUUCCUCUUAUUCUUUUUCUUUCUUCUUCUUUCUCUUUAUUCCUUUCUUUCCUUCCUCUUGUCUUCUUCUUUAUCCCAUUCGAAACAGAAAGAGAGAUGGUGAGAGAAACACAGAGAGGGAGAGAGAGAUCGGGAGAGAAAUCCAGAAACCGGUGAACCCAGGUGAGGUGAUUUUCGGCGGGUUGAGCGAGUUUUCCGAUGGGUCAUUCUGGGUUGUCUCCGGUGAAGUCAGAGGGGGAGAUUCCGGCGAUUUCAUGAUGGUUUCCAGCGAUCCAUCCUGUGGCCGUUCAAUCCGUUUUUCCGGCGGUUCUUGGUGAAUUUCCGGUGAUCUUUCGGUGGUUCUCCUUAGCUUUAAACGGAAAUUCUCUAGUUGGGUGUGUGGGUGAAGCUUAGCCCGUGUAUUCCUGUUCCUGAUGGUUGUGCUGGGUUGUUGAUUCGCGGCUGAACCGUGUUUGGUGCCUUUCCUUUCCUGCCGCGUGUGUGUGUCGUUUUACCCGUUUGGUAUUUUGGUUGGAUUCCCAUGAGUGAAGUUCAGCCAUGAACCCCUGUUUGAUUGUGAUGUUCCGGCUUUGUCUCAUGUCACGGUUGAGCUAAAUAUUGGGUUAAACUGUGGGUGAUUUUCUGGUUGGGUUUUGGUGUUUCGGUCGUGCAUGUGGGUCUCUGUUCAGAUUGUGUGUGUGUUUCACUCAAGCCAUGUUUUGAGUCCUUGUUGUUUAAUGUUUAUCCUCUCUGUUUGACCAA